AAUCAACGCUGGCGGCGUGCCUAACACAUGCAAGUCGAACGAGAAAGUGGAGCAAUCCAUGAGUAAAGUGGCGCACGGGUGAGUAACACGUGACUAACCUACCCAGGAGUGGGGGAUAACUGAGGGAAACCUUAGCUAAUACCGCAUAACACCUACGGGUCAAAGGAGCAAUUCGCUUCUGGAGGGGGUCGCGGCCGAUUAGUUAGUUGGCAGGGUAAUGGCCUACCAAGACGAUGAUCGGUAUCCGGCCUGAGAGGGCGCACGGACACACUGGAACUGAAACACGGUCCAGACUCCUACGGGAGGCAGCAGUGGGGAAUUUUGCGCAAUGGGGGAAACCCUGACGCAGCAACGCCGCGUGGAGGAUGAAGUCCCUCGGGACGUAAACUCCUUUCGAUCGGGACGAUUAUGACGUACC
rnacentral:rRNA from 1 species